rnacentral:lncRNA from 1 species
GCUUUGUGCAUCUCGUCUUCCGGCAUCUCGAGCUUCUAGGGAUCCAUAGGAUGUUUAUUUUCCUUUUCCCUUGUAAUAUGAUUGACAAUGCUGUACUUCUUUAGUGCAUCUCGUCUUCCGGCAUCUCGAGCUUCUAGGGAUCCAUAGGAUGUUUAUUUUCCUUUUCCCUUGUAAUAUGAUUGACAAUGCUGUACUUCUUUGUCUCGAAUAUAUAUUUGAUGAGAUAUUUUCC